AUUCGCCUCGAGGGAGGAGGGCCUGUAGCAGGGUGGGAGGGGCCUGGCUCUGAGGGUCCUGCCCGUCUCCCCAUCCCCACAGGACUGGGAGGUGCAGUACCAACAGGACACCCCGGUGGCCCCCCGCUUUGACGUCAAUGCCCCGGACCUCUACAUUCCAGCAAUGGCUUUCAUCACCUAUGUUUUGGUGGCUGGUCUUGCGCUGGGGACCCAGGAUAGGUUCUCCCCAGACCUCCUGGGGCUGCAAGCGAGCUCAGCCCUGGCCUGGCUGACCCUGGAGGUGCUGGCCAUCCUGCUCAGCCUCUAUCUGGUCACUGUCAACACCGACCUCACCACCAUCGACCUGGUGGCCUUCUUGGGCUACAAAUAUGUCGGGUGAGUACCCCCGCCCUUCGUGUCAGCCCCAGCCCUUGGGCCUUGUCCUCACACAGCCUCCUCUCCCUCCCCCAGGAUGAUUGGCGGGGUCCUCAUGGGCCUGCUCUUCGGGAAGAUUGGCUACUACCUGGUGCUGGGCUGGUGCUGCGUGGCCAUCUUUGUGUUCAUGAUCCGGACCCUGCGGCUGAAGAUCUUGGCAGAGGCAGCAGCUGAGGGGGUCCCGGUGCGUGGGGCCCGGAACCAGCUGCGCAUGUACCUGACCAUGGCAGUGGCGGCGGCACAGCCUCUGCUCAUGUACUGGCUCACCUUCCACCUGGUGCGGUGAGCGCGCCCGCUGAACCUCCCGCUGCUGCUGCUGCUGCUGGGGGCCACUGUGGCCGUCGGACUCAUCUCCUGCCUGCAGGCCCCAGGGUCCACCCUGUCUGGCCACAGGCACCGCCUCCAUCCCAUGUCCCGCCCAGCCCCGCCCCCAACCCAAGGUGCUGAGAGAUCUCCAGCUGCACAGGCCACCGCCCCAGGGCGUGGCCGCUGUUACAGAAACAAUAAACCCUGAUGGGCAUG
rnacentral:sRNA from 1 species